AUGAACGCUGGCGGCGUGCCUAAUACAUGCAAGUCGAGCGAACAGGCGAGGAGCUUGCUCCUCUGACGUUAGCGGCGGACGGGUGAGUAACACGUGGAUAACCUACCUAUAAGACUGGGAUAACUUCGGGAAACCGGAGCUAAUACCGGAUAAUAUAUUGAACCGCAUGGUUCAAUAGUGAAAGACGGUUUUGCUGUCACUUAUAGAUGGAUCCGCGCCGCAUUAGCUAGUUGGUAAGGUAACGGCUUACCAAGGCAACGAUGCGUAGCCGACCUGAGAGGGUGAUCGGCCACACUGGAACUGGGACACGGUCCAGACUCCUACGGGAGGCAGCAGUAGGGAAUCUUCCGCAAUGGGCGAAAGCUUGACGGAGCAACGCCGCGUGAGUGAUGAAGGUCUUCGGAUCGUAAAACUCUGUUAUUAGGGAAGAACAAAUGUGUAAGUAACUAUGCACGUCUUGACGGUACCUAAUCAGAAAGCCACGGCUAACUACGUG
rnacentral:rRNA from 1 species